AAUGAACGCUGGCGGCAGGCCUAACACAUGCAAGUCGAACGGAGUUAUAUUGUAGCUUGCUAUGGUAUAACUUAGUGGCAGACGGGUGAGUAAUGUAUAGGAAUCUACCUAGUAGUACGGAAUAAUUGUUGGAAACGGCAACUAAUACCGUAUACGCCCUACGGGGGAAAAAUUUAUUGCUAUUAGAUGAGCCUAUAUUAGAUUAGUUAGUUGGUGAGGUAAAGGCUUACCAAGACAAUGAUCUAUAGCUGAUCUGAGAGGAUGAUCAGCCACACUGGAACUGAGAUACGGUCCAGACUCCUACGGGAGG
rnacentral:rRNA from 2 species